AGCUUUUUAUAUCCAUGUACAGAUUUCGUCAGACACCAACCGAUUAGGGCUGAACAGACUUCCAAGAUAAGUGAAGUU
rfam:Schistosoma mansoni strain Puerto Rico chromosome W, complete genome